ACGAACGGACCAAUUACUUGAAUGAUAAUUUCCAAGGAUUGAAUUAUAUUAAUUU
rnacentral:rRNA from 1 species